rnacentral:rRNA from 1 species
GAUGAACGCUGGCGGCGUGCCUAAUACAUGCAAGUCGAGCGAACAGACGAGGAGCUUGCUCCUCUGACGUUAGCGGCGGACGGGUGAGUAACACGUGGAUAACCUACCUAUAAGACUGGGAUAACUUCGGGAAACCGGAGCUAAUACCGGAUAAUAUAUUGAACCGCAUGGUUCAAUAGUGAAAGACGGUUUUGCUGUCACUUAUAGAUGGAUCCGCGCCGCAUUAGCUAGUUGGUAAGGUAACGGCUUACCAAGGCAACGAUGCGUAGCCGACCUGAGAGGGUGAUCGGCCACACUGGAACUGAGACACGGUCCAGACUCCUACGGGAGGCAGCAGUAGGGAAUCUUCCGCAAUGGGCGAAAGCCUGACGGAGCAACGCCGCGGGAGUGAUGAAGGUCUUCGGAUCGUAAAACGCUGUUAUUAGGGAAGAACAAAUGUGUAAGUAACUAUGCACGUCUUGACGGUACCGAAUCAGAAAGCCACGGCUAACUACGU